GUUGGUGUCCAUGAUGACUGAUCUUUUUUCCCCAGCAGAUCGAUUCUGUUGACUGUCUUUUUAAGCCAAACUAGUCUGAUGCACCAAC